rnacentral:lncRNA from 1 species
AGGUGCCUCCGGGCUAGCCCUCGUCGAACGCAUGCACGCCACCGAGCCAGCCUCUGCCGCCGCACGUCGUUGCCGCUGCCGCCUCGCAUUAACGUCGCACGUCGCUGCUGCCGCCGCACGACGCCUUAACUCCCUCGCGCCAGCCGCUGCCGUCUCUGCAGCCGCCCGCGCACGUCGCAAUAACUCCACCACCGCGCCACCCCACC